AGUGAAGAGGAGUGGCUGGAGAGAACAUGACAGACUGUGACACACACAAAAACUGCUGGGUUAAAAAAUAACCCAACUUUAACCCCACUGCUGGGUAACUAUGGGACAGAACACACUCUGGGUUGGUUUGACCUAAGUGCUUUUUGGACUGUGUGGCUGCGGUGUCAAUUAAAUCGGAUAGAAGAGAGUCCUUUCGCAGUUCAUCUGAGAGCUGUCAGAUAUCUUCCUUGAGCAUGUGCUCACAAUUGCGCACAGGAGCCCAAGCUACCAAGCACCCGUGUAAUCGAGGCCUGUGACCACAAGCCUCCAGAAGAGCUUCAGUGCUCCUUGUCACAGACGUUGGAGGGAUGAACAGCACCUGUGGAUGGGGACACUGUAAACCUGGAGGAGACCGCUCCCAUAAGUAGAGAAGGCUUUCAUCGUAGGAUAAAGGUUGAUCAUUGUAAGAUUCCUGGAUGCAGCAGUAAAGGACGCGAUCAUCAGGCAGGCAUGGAGCCAGGGUCAGAUUCAUUUCCAAGAAAGGCGAAUAUUCUUCAACCAAGACUACUCUCCUGACCUUCAGAAGAAAAGAGCAAAAGUCUACGAAGUCAUCAAAGAGCUACGAAAGAAGGGAAUACAGGCAAAAUGCAUAUAGCCGGCGGAACUAAGACUGAAACUCAACACCGGGGAGAAAACAUUUGCGACGCUGAUGGAUGCAACAACAAAGCUGAAGGAGCUGGACAUUGAGGUACGCUGUGGAGAGAGGGAGAAAAUAGAAGAAGAGCUGAAAGAAAGGCCAGGAAGCAAGAGACGAGACACAGUACUGUCGAUACGUGACACUAAGGCUCUGAUUCAAGAAGAAGUGUAAAGUACUUCAAAAUAAGACAAUAAAACAACCUCAUGGAUGGCCCUGAAGAAUGCAAUGAAGAAACAAACAUUUGAAACCGACGGCAUAUGGGAGAAGACUUGUGCUACCUGACUUCUAUUUAUUUCAAUGGAUAUAGUUGCUUAUAUGCCUGCAUCUCACUGCGUGUGCACUCUUUGAUGUUUAUUCAGCUAAAGAUCAACAUAAGCUGUGCCAGCUUGAGAAAACAGUUUUAUGUGAUUACAGUAUAAUAAUUUAUUUUAUUAUCUUGAGACAGAAACGUGUUUAUCAUGGAAUCAAAACUUAUGGUAACUUACCAAGUUGCCACGUAAAUGUGUUGACCAAUUUCGAUUUAAAUUUUGUGACGUUCUAAAUAUUGUCACUACUAUGGUGCUCUGCAAAACCAUUAAUGUUGUUGUAGUGACACAACAGAAAUGUUACCAUCAGUCAGAGUCACUCUCUACCUGCUUUUCACGGUGUACUGUAUGUGUACACCAUGGUGGUUGCUUUACUGUUGCUUUGGGCCACUGCAUGUAGAAAUAAAUCUGACACAGGUGUUUACAUGACCCAUGAUCACAUAGAGUGAACCAGGUUAAUGCUUACUCUGAUUAGAACCUUAGACAUAAGGUAAGCAGGUACAGUAAAGGCAUUUACAUGACAGUUCUGAUAGUCAGGAGUAUUUACUUAAUCAGGGUAGGAUUGGUGAGUAAUUAGUGUCCAAAUGUGCUCACUGAUCUCCAGCCAAAAAACAAAUACUCCACUUUGCCAGGAUUUUCAGUCAAGACAGAUGCAAUUGGAUGAAAUCCCUACACCUCUGGCUGUAUAAUGUCCACAGAGACCUGUCAAUGUUGUUGUAAGGGUGCCAUGGCACAGGAGGUAGAGCGUUCGUCUAGUAAGCUUCCUGGUUCGAUCCCCGACUCCUGCAGAGAGACCUUGAGAAAGACAC